UACAGAGGGUGCGAGCGUUGUUCGGAAUUAUUGGGCGUAAAGAGCUCGUAGGCGGCUCGUCGCGUCGACCGUGAAAACCCGCAGCUUAACUGCGGGCUUGCGGUCGAUACGGGCAUCACUGGAGUUCGGCAGGGGAGACUGGAAUUCCUGGUGUAGCGGUGAAAUGCGCAGAUAUCAGGAGGAACACCGGUGGCGAAGGCGGGUCUCUGGGCCGAUACUGACGCUGAGGAGCGAAAGCGUGGGGAGCGAACAGG
rnacentral:rRNA from 1 species